UGUUGCUGCUGGCGGUGAGGAAAAGGCCUCUCCUGUGUUUCUAGGGGAGCAGAGUCCUGUGUGUGAGAGACAACAUAAGAAACAUAAGGCAGAAUUAUACAUGCUAGUGUCACUGCAUGUAACAAUUUUCAUCCUCUGCGCCAACAUAACCAGGCUUUCCUCAAGCUCGGCCUGUGAACGUUAAGAUGUUUAACGUUCAGUUCAAACUCGUAACGCAGAGACAAACACACGAGAGUUUUACUGAUCUGUUCUUACCCUCAACUCAGCGUUGACCUUCCUCAGUUUGUUGACGCUUUCUUCAGAACACGACCUUUCGAAGCAUAAUGGUGAUCUGGAGUUUAAUCUCACCUGUCCUGGCUGCACUGGGCUAUCCACUCUCUCAUGGUGGCGUGGAAAGUCUCUCUGCUCACAUGUGGGUCCUGUCGGUCCGG